UACGGGGGGGCAAGCGGUUGUUCGGAAUUACUGGGCGUAAAGGGCUUAGUAGGUGGCCAACUAAGUCAGACGUGAAAUCCCACGGCCUUAACCGAGGAACUGCGUCUGAUACUGGAUGGCUUGAGUGUGGGAGAGGGAUGCGGAAUUCCAGGUGUAGCGGUGAAAUGCGUAGAUAUCGGAGGAACACCGGUGGCGAAGGCGGCAUCCUGGACCAUGACUGACACUGAAAGCGAAGCCAGGGAGCAAACGGG
rnacentral:rRNA from 1 species